GAGCGGAGUCCCAGGCGGCGGGCGCCCGGGUGUUGGUCGUGGACGCCCAUCGAGCCCGCUGGCUUCACCGCUGACCUGAGGUCCCACGCGGCGGCCAGGCCUUCGCCUGCUAAACUUCACGGCAGGACAUCUUGUGCCGUGUCACAUUGAGCACUUCCAGCUGUGAUGGUGCCAGUGGAGUCAUAAAUUUGAGAUGGCGGUAAAAGAAAAAAGACAAUCUGUCCGGGGCGGAGAGACAGGUGCUGCAAUGGACAAAAACCCGGACAAAUACGUUUUCCAGCAGAAAGGAAAAGAGACAUUUCAAGCAGAGGAGACCACAUACGUGCAUAGAUGUCUGAAAGA